AUGCAAGUCGAACGCAGUAGCAAUACUGAGUGGCAGACGGGUGAGUAACAUGUGGGAAUCUGCCUUGUGGUUCAGGACAACAUUGGGAAACCGAUGCUAAUACUGGAUAAGCCCUUACGGGGAAAGUUUUAAUGCCAUAAGAUGAGCCCGCAUUUGAUUAGUUAGUUGGUGAGGUAAUGGCUCACCAAGACAAUGAUCAAUAGCUGAUCUGAGAGGAUGAUCAGCCACACUGGGACUGAGACACGGCCCAGACUCCUACGGGAGGCAGCAGUGGGGAAUCUUGCACAAUGGAGGAAACUCUGAUGCAGCGAUGCCGCGUGAGUGAAGAAGGCCUUUGGGUUGUAAAGCUCUUUUGUAGGGGAAGAUAAUGACUGUACCCUAAGAAUAAGGUCCGGCUAACUUCGUGCCAGCAGCCGCGGUAAUACGAAGGGACCUAGCGUAGUUCGGAAUUACUGGGCGUAAAGCGCGCGUAGGCCGUUGAGUUAGUUAAUUGUGAAAUCCCAAAGCUUAACUUUGGAACUGCAAUUAAAACUGCUCGACUAGAGUUUGAUAGAGGAAAGCGGAAUACAUAGUGUAGAGGUGAAAUUCGUAGAUAUUAUGUAGAACACCAGUUGCGAAGGCGGCUUUCUGGAUCAACACUGACGCUGAGGCGCGAAAGUAUGGGUAGCAAAGAGGAUUAGAUACCCUCGUAGUCCAUACCAUAAACGAUGAUUGCUAGAUGUUGGAAAUUUAUUUUCAGUAUCGCAGCUAACGCAUUAAGCAAUCCGCCUGGGGAGUACGACCGCAAGGUUAAAACUCAAAUGAAUUGACGGGGUCCCGCACAAGCGGUGGAGCAUGUGGUUUAAUUCGAAGAUACGCGCAGAACCUUACCAACCCUUGACAUGUCUGUCGCGAGUUUAGGAAACUAGACUUUUCGGUUCGGCCGGACAGAACACAGGUGCUGCAUGGCUGUCGUCAGCUCGUGUCGUGAGAUGUUG
rnacentral:rRNA from 1 species